GACGAACGCUGGCGGCGCGCCUAACACAUGCAAGUCGAACGGAGCUUAGAGAGCUUGCUUUUUAAGCUUAGUGGCGAACGGGUGAGUAACGCGUGAGUAACCUGCCCUAGAGUGGGGGACAACAGUUGGAAACGACUGCUAAUACCGCAUAAGCCCACGGUGCCGCAUGACACUGAGGGAAAAGGAUUUAUUCGCUUUAGGAUGGACUCGCGUCCAAUUAGCUAGUUGGUGAGGUAACGGCCCACCAAGGCGACGAUUGGUAGCCGGACUGAGAGGUUGAACGGCCACAUAGGGACUGAGACACGGCCCAGACUCCUACGGGAGGCAGCAGUGGGGGAUAUUGCACAAUGGGGGAAACCCUGAUGCAGCGACGCCGCGUGGAGGAAGAAGGUUUUCGGAUUGUAAACUCCUGUCGUUAGGGACGAUAAUGACGGUACCUAACAAGAAAGCACCGGCUAACUACGUGCCAGCAGCCGCGGUAAAACGUAGGGUGCAAGCGUUGUCCGGAAUUACUGGGUGUAAAGGGAGCGCAGGCGGGAAGACAAGUUGGAAGUGAAAACCAUGGGCUCAACCCAUGAAUUGCUUUCAAAACUGUUUUUCUUGAGUAGUGCAGAGGUAGAUGGAAUUCCCGGUGUAGCGGUGGAAUGCGUAGAUAUCGGGAGGAACACCAGUGGCGAAGGCGGUCUACUGGGCACCAACCGACGCUGAGGCUCGAAAGCAUGGGUAGCAAACAGGAUUAGAUACCCAGGUAGUCCAUGCCGUAAACGAUGAUUAUUAAGGGGUUGGGGGGAAUUGACCCCCCUCAGUGCCGCCAGUUAACACAAAUAAGUAAUCCACCCCGGGGAGUACGCCCGCAAGGUUGAAACUCAAAGGAAUUGACGGGGGCCCGCACAAGCACUGGAGUAUGUGGUUUAAUUUGAAGCAACGCGAAGAACCUUACCAGGUCUUGACAUCCGACGCAUAACACAGAGAUGUGUGAAAUCCUUCGGGACAUCGAGACAGGUGGUGCAUGGUUGUCGUCAGCUCGUGUCGUGAGAUGUUGGGUUAAGUCCCGCAACGAGCGCAACCCUUAUUGCCAGUUACUACGUUAAGAGGACUCUGGCGAGACUGCCGUUGACAAAACGGAGGAAGGUGGGGAUGACGUCAAAUCAUCAUGCCCUCUAUGACCUGGGCUACACACGUACUACAAUGGCGUUAAACAAAGAGAAGCAAGACCGCGAGGUGGAGCAAAACUCAAAAACAACGUCUCAGUUCAGAUUGCAGGCUGCAACUCGCCUGCAUGAAGUCGGAAUUGCUAGUAAUCGCGGAUCAGCAUGCCGCGGUGAAUAAGAUCCCGGGCCUUGCAC
rnacentral:rRNA from 1 species